GUUUAAUGAUGCUGUAUCUCACGAUGGUCUUCAGAGUUCCUUGCAAAUGGAAUCUGUUGAGAGAGCCAACUGGCAACUCCUGAAAACGGCCG